rnacentral:rRNA from 1 species
CUCAGGACGAACGCUGGCGGCGUGCCUAAUACAUGCAAGUCGAGCGGACCGACGGGAGCUUGCUCCCUUAGGUCAGCGGCGGACGGGUGAGUAACACGUGGGUAACCUGCCUGUAAGACUGGGAUAACUCCGGGAAACCGGGGCUAAUACCGGAUGCUUGAUUGAACCGCAUGGUUCAAUCAUAAAAGGUGGCUUUUAGCUACCACUUACAGAUGGACCCGCGGCGCAUUAGCUUGUUGGUGAGGUAACGGCUCACCAAGGCGACGAUGCGUAGCCGACCUGAGAGGGUGAUCGGCCACACUGGGACUGAGACACGGCCCAGACUCCUACGGGAGGCAGCAGUAGGGAAUCUUCCGCAAUGGACGAAAGUCUGACGGGGCAACGCCGCGUGAGUGAUGAAGGUUUUCGGAUCGUAAAACUCUGUUGUUAGGGAAGAACAAGUACCGUUCGAAUAGGGCGGUACCUUGACGGUACCUAACCAGAAAGCCACGGCUAACUACGUGCCAGCAGCCGCGGUAAUACGUAGGUGGCAAGCGUUGUCCGGAAUUAUUGGGCGUAAAGCGCGCGCAGGCGGUUUCUUAAGUCUGAUGUGAAAGCCCCCGGCUCAACCGGGGAGGGUCAUUGGAAACUGGGGAACUUGAGUGCAGAAGAGGAGAGUGGAAUUCCACGUGUAGCGGUGAAAUGCGUAGAGAUGUGGAGGAACACCAGUGGCGAAGGCGACUCUCUGGUCUGUAACUGACGCUGAGGCGCGAAAGCGUGGGGAGCGAACAGGAUUAGAUACCCUGGUAGUCCACGCCGUAAACGAUGAGUGCUAAGUGUUAGAGGGUUUCCGCCCUUUAGUGCUGCAGCAAACGCAUUAAGCACUCCGCCUGGGGAGUACGGUCGCAAGACUGAAACUCAAAGGAAUUGACGGGGGCCCGCACAAGCGGUGGAGCAAGUGGUUUAAUUCGAAGCAACGCGAAGAACCUUACCAGGUCUUGACAUCCUCUGACAACCCUAGAGAUAGGGCUUCCCCUUCGGGGGCAGAGUGACAGGUGGUGCAUGGUUGUCGUCAGCUCGUGUCGUGAGAUGUUGGGUUAAGUCCCGCAACGAGCGCAACCCUUGAUCUUAGUUGCCAGCAUUCAGUUGGGCACUCUAAGGUGACUGCCGGUGUCAAACCGGAGGAAGGUGGGGAUGACGUCAAAUCAUCAUGCCCCUUAUGACCUGGGCUACACACGUGCUACAAUGGGCAGAACAAAGGGCAGCGAAGCCGCGAGGCUAAGCCAAUCCCACAAAUCUGUUCUCAGUUCGGAUCGCAGUCUGCAACUCGACUGCGUGAAGCUGGAAUCGCUAGUAAUCGCGGAUCAGCAUGCCGCGGUGAAUACGUUCCCGGGCCUUGUACACACCGCCCGUCACACCACGAGAGUUUGUAACACCCGAAGUCGGUGAGGUCACCUUUUGGAGCC